rnacentral:other from 1 species
UUUGGGCCGGGGAUUCUGUAAAUUGAGUUUCGCCCUACAAACUUUACAACGGGAGCUGUCCCUGAUCGCGGUGAGCAUGCCCAACAAGUGUUAAAUUACACUUGGAAAAUGGGAAGCCUAAAGCGAUUACUAAUUGCGCCCACCUAUUUAUUAGGGGCGCGAAACCGCAAAACACAGUUCCCCGGCCCUCUC